rnacentral:rRNA from 1 species
UACGGGGGGGGCAAGCGUUGUUCGGAAUUACUGGGCGUAAAGGGCUCGUAGGUGGCCAACUAAGUCAUACGUGAAAUCCCUCGGCUUAACCGGGGAACCGCGUCUGAUACUGGAUGGCUUGAGGUUGGGAGAGGGAUGCGGAAUUCCAGGUGUAGCGGUGAAAUGCGUAGAUAUCUGGAGGAACACCGGUGGCGAAGGCGGCAUCCUGGACCAAUUCUGACACUGAGGAGCGAAAGCCAGGGGAGCAAACGGG